rnacentral:rRNA from 1 species
UACGGAGGAUGCAAGCGUUAUCCGGAAUGAUUGGGCGUAAAGGGUCCGCAGGUGGCAGUGUAAGUCUGCCGUCAAAGAAUGAGGCUUAACCUUAUCAAGGCAGUGGAAACUACACAGCUAGAGUACGGUCGGGGUAGAAGGAAUUCCUGGUGUAGCGGUGAAAUGCGUAGAGAUCAGGAAGAACACCGGUGGCGAAAGCGUUCUGCUAGACCUGUACUGACACUGAGGGACGAAAGCUAGGGGAGCGAAUGGG